rnacentral:rRNA from 1 species
GACGAACCGUGCGAACGUUGUUCGGAUUCACUGGGCUUAAAGGGCGCGUAGGCGGAUGGUCAAGUCGGGGGUGAAAUCUUUCAGCUUAACUGGAAAAGUGCCUCCGAUACUGACUGUCUCGAGGGAGGUAGGGGCAUGUGGAACUUCCGGUGGAGCGGUGAAAUGCGUAGAUAUCGGAAAGAACACCAACGGCGAAAGCACUCUGCUGGGCCGACACUGACACUGAGAGACGAAAGCUAGGGGGAGCGAAAUGGG